AGUGAACGCUGGCGGUAGGCCUAACACAUGCAAGUCGAACGGCAGCACAGUAAGAGCUUGCUCUUACGGGUGGCGAGUGGCGGACGGGUGAGGAAUACAUCGGAAUCUACUUUUUCGUGGGGGAUAACGUUGGGGAACUUACGCUAAUACCGCAUACGACCUACGGGUGAAAGCAGGGGAUCUUCGGACCUUGCGCGAUUGAAUGAGCCGAUGUCGGAUUAGCUAGUUGGCGGGGUAAAGGCCCACCAAGGCGACGAUCCGUAGCUGGUCUGAGAGGAUGAUCAGCCACACUGGAACUGAGACACGGUCCAGACUCCUACGGGAGGCAGCAGUGGGGAAUAUUGGACAAUGGGCGCAAGCCUGAUCCAGCCAUACCGCGUGGGUGAAGAAGGCCUUCGGGUUGUAAAGCCCUUUUGUUGGGAAAGAAAAGCAGCAGGUUAAUACCCCGCUGUUCUGACGGUACCCAAAGAAUAAGCACCGGCUAACUUCGUG
rnacentral:rRNA from 1 species